UACGUAGGGGGCUAGCGUUGCUCGGAAUCACUGGGCGUAAAGGGUGCGUAGGCGGGUCUUUAAGUCAGGGGUGAAAUCCUGGAGCUCAACUCCAGAACUGCCUUUGAUACUGAGGAUCUUGAGUUCGGGAGAGGUGAGUGGAACUGCGAGUGUAGAGGUGAAAUUCGUAGAUAUUCGCAAGAACACCAGUGGCGAAGGCGGCUCACUGGCCCGAUACUGACGCUGAGGCACGAAAGCGUGGGGAGCAAACAGGG
rnacentral:rRNA from 1 species